rnacentral:sRNA from 1 species
AGCCACUUUUCAGCUCUUUAAAUAAGGGAAUGUGAACUUGCCAAGUAGGUACCUUCGGGCGGACCUACUACCUGAUUUAGCUGAUUUUUCCUGGGCUGGGAACCUGUAUCGCAUGUACCAAUCCUGUCUCUCAUUUGAUUUUCCUAUGUUCUUACUAGUUAUAUCUUGGCGUGUUUUCAACACUAGCAUUCCUCCUGUAUAACCAACUCUUGCCUGUAUUUAACAUCACACAAGGACUUGUCAUAAGCACUGCUUGCAUACAAG